CAAAAAAAAAAUAAAUAAAAUUUUCCCUUGGUGGAGAGAGGGAGGGACAGAGACUGAUAAGAGCUUCAUUUAAGGUAAACGCAGCAGUGAAAUGGUUUCCAAAGAAAAAGAUGUGUUUGCUCAACAAUAGCUCAGUUGUAGCAGAAAACACAUGAUCAUUCAGAACAUGUUUGAGGGCAUAGACUUCAGGUCUAUAAAACUUAUGGUUUAAUUGUUCCAGUUGGCCUUGGGUGUGAUCUAAUGCAAACACUAACACCGUUAGGUCACAGGUCACAAAAAGGCUGAGCUUGGCAGAAGAUGUAAGUGCCUGUCUUUCUUACCUUACCCCAACCACAGCAGACCACUUCUGAGCUUCUGACUCUAUAGACCCAGAAUUCCAGCCCAUUCCACAGGACGUGGAACUUUAUAUUAUGCUCAUUCCUCUUUCACCUGAGUCACAAUGAUCUUUCCAGCCAACCUGCAAGCCCAAGGGGGCAGAGCUCAUGCCUUAUACAUUUUCUUUAAACCUAGUAGUAUAACAUUGUGUUCAAGAAUGGCAUGUGAAUUUAUUCAUCCAGAAGAAGAAAUCAAAAUUCCCCAUCAAAACCUAUAGCACGAUUCUACUCACUUCACUUGCCUCUUACCUUCUAUAACUUCUAACUUGCUCAUGCAUUUGAAAACUGCAGUUAGGGUUUUCAUUAUAAGCAUACUUCCCUGGGAAAAAAAAUCUGUGCAACUGAACCUUAAUAUAAGGUUCUGUUUCAUACAAUGAAUUUAUGUUUAUGAGAGUGGUUAAGGUUGAGAAUAUGAAAACAAGGUUUCCAGGCUCUCAUCUAUACUCCCAAUUUCCAAAUCAAAACAACCACAAAGAAAAAAGCAUCUGCUCUCUUAGCAUGGAUUUUCUCUGUACAAAGAGAAAGGAUAAUUUCUAGAUAAAGAGAAGCUAUAGAAUUUUUUUUUUUUUUUUUUUUCUGUAGAAGGCAGGAGAUGCAACCAAAUUUCAAUGGCAGUAUAUAUGAUUGGGAAACAACAUACAGGCAUUUAAAUAUUCGGGAUCCUCCAUUGCUCUUAUUCCUUUCCCUUCUCCAGCUUUGAAGGUGAUAAAACUAUUAGGGACUGUGCCGCUUGUGAGUUGAACUAGAUGAGAUUGUCUUUGCCUGUGUGUGUGUGUGUAUAUGAGAAUGUCCAACACUAUUAUUAGGAAUUCCCUUUUUACAUCCCCACAGGAGUAUUUAAUGAGACACAGGCAUUGAAAUGAAUUCAAAAUGCUGAACCAAGUGCCUGGCUCCCUCUGCUCGCAGGCCGCGCUUUCCUCUUUCUGUUUGAAAGCAGAUGCCUCAUCUCUCAGAUCAUGGUGUCAGAACUUUAGACAUUUUAAAACUGUAUCAAGGGCAUAAUUUAUAUUGCCUUUGCCCCAAAAGCUUGGGAUCAAAGGCUGCUUUCAAGACAAAAUGAAUUUUAAAUUCAGAAAUGACUGAAUGAGUUCUGUUCUUCGCUGAUUUUGUAUUUUAGACAAAACUAUUUUAAAGGAGCAGAGUUUUGGAAGUGCUGUAAGGUCGUUAUGAAAGAAUGGAAGCCCAGAUGCUUGAUUUAAAUUCCAAAGGGAAUAAUUGCUUAUUGAAUUGAAGUACUCACCUGGCAUCUGCACAAAUGGAGAUUGAGAGGAGCUGACGCUGCCCUGGAAGGAAGAGGAGAGGGACACACAAAGACACAGAUGCAGAUGGGACAAGGUCAUGUGAAGACAAAGGCAGCAGUUUGAGUAAUACAACCUCAAGCCAAGGAACAUCGAGGAUCACCAGCCACAAUUGCCAGAUCAUGAGUUCUGAGAAGGCUGAACUACGGAUCUCCUGUAAAAUGUGACCCAGGACCUUUUAAACAGUUCCUAGAGGUGGGGUGAGGGAGCCAAUCAGCUGCCUAGUUUCCUGAGGAUGGACCCUGGCACAAACCCUUCUUAUCAACCAGCCCGAAUUGACGUCACCAGUUGACAGCCUCAUCUGCACCUGACGCCAAUGUAUGAACAUUGCUCAGAGUUCUAGAAGCUGGAUUUAAACCUUUUCCCUCAGACUGAGUCUCCCAUCUGCCCUUCU